AUCUUCCACCUCAUCAUUGCCGCAAUUCUCAUUCUAGCAUCGUGGGAAAACUAUCAAUCCGAAUAUUUCUUCUUAGAAAGUAUAUGAUUUGACCCCUAUGAGCGACCCACCGGAUCGGAUGAUUCAGAUUGGUCGGAACUCGGAAUCAUAAGUGGCCAAUUCAUACCAUGUUUCCAGGGUUAGACUUAGUGUCUAGAGUCUGGUCGAUUCCGAUCGUUUCCGGCCGAUCAAGAAUCCAGAUUGGAAUCAAAUCAAAAUUGGCCGGUGGAUCAAUUCAGAUCGGAUCCCCGGCCCAGAAGUCGUAUUUCCUUUUCUUUGUCGUAAACGGUAGACCUUCCGAUUUGCAGGGCAAGAAUUCUUAGAAAACUCGAAUCCCCAACCAAAUUCGAUGUAGCUCCGGACGAGUUCUGCUGCCGUUCACACUGUCAAGCGUGCGUAGUCAGUAAUGAAACUAGAAGAGAAGGAAUUGAACACUGCUGCUGGUCCUGGUUGUCAAGGCAGUAUCGUUCGCCCUUUUGCAGAAAAUCCGCAAGCCGGAGAUGAAGGUGGCGUACAGAUCGUUUGUUUCACGGAGGAUCUUCGAGGUGUAAUUCUGCAUUUUCAGAUCAUAUGGCUCAAGAAACUGGGACCAUAGAUAUAUGCAUGGAUUGGAUGCAAUACUGCAAACUUUGGGCAUUUAUAUGCAGCUGCACCUGCUUGACAUAACCAUACAGUGAAUGUAGCAUCAGUACUUGGGGGAGCCUCUGAUAACAUGGGAUCAAGCAUUGCUCAGCGAUUAGAUCCAUGAACAUGUUUCUGUUGAUCUUCUAUAAGUAUUUAGUAACCACACAAAAGAGAGUGAUAGAAAGGUACCUAUGCUUGGUCUAAGUUUUGAUCUGGACCCUAGAUCAUGAAUUUGAUGUUCCUAAUAAAGUUGUACCUCAACUGGUGUAUCUAGCAAUUUGUGUAAUGUCAAACUGUGACAUAUCCUUACCAAAAAAAGAAAAAGAAGAGAGAAGCUGUGACAUAUUUUUAGAUUUGGUACAAUUGAAACUUACAAUAUAACUGUCAAUGAAAUUCUUUAGUUUUAUCGUGCUCUUAUUUCAAUGGUGUUGACAUGGUCAAUUCAUGAACUCCAAUAUGUAUCUAUUCCAUGAAUUAUUUCAGUUGUGAUGUUACUUCUAAUUGUCCUUCUUUCCGACUUUAUGAUCUUUAGCAUCUCCACGAUGGACUUUUCUUAGAGUAUUGACUUCACCUGUAAUAUCAUUUGUUCCUCUCAUGUGUGAUUUUUGUUCUUAGAAAUUGUCUUGGGGAACUAUCUAGUGGAAUACUCUUGCAUAUUCACUUGUGCAUGCUUUUGUUUUGGGUGUGCGUUUGAGAGUGAGUACAAGUGUAAUGCCCUUGUUCUGUUGUUGAUCAAUGGAAAAUAGCUGAUGGAAAGUGUCUCAAAAGAAAGAAGAAAUUGUAUGGGCCUAAAAAACCGGAAACUAUGUUACUGAAAUGUAAUUGAAAAUUUUGGAAAAUGAUUUACCGUUUUUAAUUUCUGGA